CCUACGGGAGGCAGCAGUGAGGAAUAUUGGUCAAUGGGCUUACGCCUGAACCAGCCAAGUCGCGUGAGGGAAGACUGCCCUAUGGGUUGUAAACCUCUUUUGUCAGGGAGCAACGCCGGCUACGUGUAGCCGGACUGAGAGUACCUGAAGAAAAAGCAUCGGCUAACUCCGUGCCAGCAGCCGCGGUAAUACGGAGGAUGCGAGCGUUAUCCGGAUUUAUUGGGUUUAAAGGGUGCGUAGGCGGAAUAUCAAGUCAGCGGUAAAAAUUCGGGGCUCAACCCCGUCGUGCCGUUGAAACUGAUGGUCUUGAGUGGGCGAGAAGUAUGCGGAAUGCGUGGUGUAGCGGUGAAAUGCAUAGAUAUCACGCAGAACUCCGAUUGCGAAGGCAGCAUACCGGCGCCCAACUGACGCUGAAGCACGAAAGCGUGGGUAUCGAACAGGAUUAGAUACCCUUGUAGUC
rnacentral:rRNA from 1 species